rnacentral:rRNA from 1 species
UACAGAGGGGGCAAGCGUUGUUCGGAAUUAUUGGGCGUAAAGGGUGCGUAGGCGGUGCGGUAAGUCUUCUGUGAAAUCUCCGGGCUCAACUCGGAGCCUGCAGGAGAAACUGCCGUGCUUGAGUAUGGGAGAGGUGAGUGGAAUUCCUGGUGUAGCGGUGAAAUGCGUAGAUAUCAGGAGGAACACCGAUGGCGAAGGCAGUGGGCUGGGCCGGCACUGACGCUGAGGAGCGAAAGCGUGGGGAGCGAACAGG